AACGAACGCUGGCGGCGUGCCUAAAACAUGCAAGUCGCACGAGAAAGUAUUUAUACGAGUAAAGUGGCGCACGGGUGAGUAACACGUGGAUAACAUACCUUCGAGACUGGUAUAACAGUUGGAAACGACUGAUAAUCCCAGAUAAAGUUUUGAAUACAUUGGGGUAUUUUGAAUGAAAGCGGGCCUUCGGUGUCGGCUUGAAGAGUGGUCUGCGUCCCAUUAGCUAGUUGGUGAGGUAAAGGCUCAUCCAAGGCAUUGAUGGGUAGCUGGUCUGAGAGGACGAUCAGCCACACUGGGACUGAAACACGGCCCAGACUCCUACGGGAGGCAGCAGUUAGGAAUAUUGCGCAAUGGAGGGAACGUCUGACGCAGCGACGCCGCGUGAGCGAAGAAGGCCUUAGGGUUGUAAAGCUCUGUUGAAAGGGAAGAAUGCUGACGGAUGAAUAAUUUGGUUAGUUGACGGUACCUUUUAAGAAAGCACCGGCUAACUCUGUGCCAG
rnacentral:rRNA from 1 species